rnacentral:rRNA from 1 species
UACGUAGGGUGCAAGCGUUCCUCGGAAUUACUGGGCGUAAAGCGUGCGCAGGCGGUUUUGUAAGUCUGACGUGAAAGCCCCGGGCUUAACCUGGGAAUUGCGUUGGAGACUGCAAGGCUUGAAUCUGGCAGAGGGGGGUAGAAUUCCACGUGUAGCAGUGAAAUGCGUAGAGAUGUGGAGGAACACCGAUGGCGAAGGCAGCCCCCUGGGUCAAGAUUGACGCUCAUGCACGAAAGCGUGGGGAGCAAACAGG